rnacentral:rRNA from 1 species
CCUACGGGGGGCUGCAGUGGGGAAUAUUGGACAAUGGGCGAAAGCCUGAUCCAGCCAUGCCGCGUGUGUGAAGAAGGCCUUCGGGUUGUAAAGCACUUUCAGUGGGGAAGAAAGCCUUGGGGCUAAUACCCUCGAGGAAGGACAUCACCCACAGAAGAAGCACCGGCUAACUCCGUGCCAGCAGCCGCGGUAAUACGGAGGGUGCGAGCGUUAAUCGGAAUUACUGGGCGUAAAGCGCGCGUAGGCGGUCUGAUAAGCCGGUUGUGAAAGCCCCGGGCUCAACCUGGGAACGGCAUCCGGAACUGUCAGGCUAGAGUGCAGGAGAGGAAGGUAGAAUUCCCGGUGUAGCGGUGAAAUGCGUAGAGAUCGGGAGGAAUACCAGUGGCGAAGGCGGUCUUCUGGACUGACACUGACGCUGAGGUGCGAAAGCGUGGGUAGCAAACAGGAUUAGAUACCCCUGUAGUC